rnacentral:rRNA from 1 species
GGAUGCGAUCAUACCAGCACUAAAGCACCGGAUCCCAUCAGAACUCCGAAGUUAAGGUUUCUUGGGCGAGAGUAGUACUAAGAUGGGAGACCUCCUAGGAAGUCCUCGUGUUGCAUUCCC